rnacentral:rRNA from 1 species
AUUGAACGCUGGCGGCAUGCCUAACACAUGCAAGUCGAACGGUAACACGAAGCAGCUUGCUGCUUCGCUUGCGAGUGGCGGACGGGUGGGAAAUGUCUGUAACACUGCCUGAUGGAGGGGGAUACCUACUGUAAACGGUAGCUAAUACCGCAUAACGUCGCAAGACAAAGGAGCGGGACCUUAGGGCCUCUUUCCAUCGGCGGUGCCCAGAUGGGAUUAGCUAGGAGGUGGGGUAACGGCUCACCUAGGCGACGAUCCCUAGCUGGUCUGAGAGGAUGACCAGCCACACUGGAACUGAGACACGGUCCAGACUCCUACGGGAGGCAGCAGUGGGGAAUAUUGCACAAUGGGCGCAAGCCUGAUGCAGCCAUGCCGCGUGUAUGAAGAAGGCCUUCGGGUUGUAAAGUACUUUCAGCGGGGAGGAAGGGAGUAAAGUUAAUACCUUGGCUCAUUGACGUUACCCGCAGAAGAAGCACCGGCUAACUCCGUG